UACGGAGGGUGCAAGCGUUAUCCGGAUUCACUGGGUUUAAAGGGUGCGUAGGAGGGUGAGUAAGUCAGUGGUGAAAUCUUCGAGCUUAACUCGGAAACUGCCGUUGAUACUACUUGUCUUGAAUACCGUGGAGGUGAGCGGAAUAUGUCAUGUAGCGGUGAAAUGCUUAGAUAUGACAUAGAACACCAAUUGCGAAGGCAGCUCACUACACGAAUAUUGACUCUGAGGCACGAAAGCGUGGGGAUCAAACAGG
rnacentral:rRNA from 1 species